rnacentral:lncRNA from 1 species
GAACAGUGUCUAGGCCUAAUAAGUACUCAAAAUGCAUUGAUUAUAUUAUUUCUCUUUAAUUUUAGACAUCACAACAUUGCCCCAGAGAGGAACCCAGGAUUCUCACACCAUGACACCAUCCUCAUCUGUUUCUCCAGCCACAUUUGGACAUGGAUCUGGCAGCCAAAGGUACUGCAACUCAAUCCAGAUAUACACCGAAGUGGGUAAAGGUGGCAGCAGCAGCCCAAUGUGACAGCCAGUUCCAUGUGCAGCCUGAGACAAGACACUUCACAUAUGUAAAAUCUCACUUCCAUCCUCAGAGAAAUGUCAACUGCAGGAGUUUGUGCGACACAAAUGUUCAGGCACACAUAGCUGCUGCCAUGAACCGAAUCCUCCAUAUACAAAGGAAGUAUUCCAAACUGUUUCCAUUUUAUUUUCAAGUAGCCUUUAAAAUAACCAAAUAAGAUAAAUCAUUAGGGCUUAAUGACCCGGAAACUAAUUGCUGGAAACAUUUACUCUUUAAUGAUAUCUCCU